rnacentral:lncRNA from 1 species
UUUUUUUUUGUCGUGUGUAUAGCACUGCUGUUGUCUCCAGCGGAGAAGAAAAUUCGACGACGUCUAUUUGGAGUAAAGCACACAAGUCGUACCACGUAAGUAGGAACCAAAAAUCCGAGUUCGUCAUGAGAACUUGAGCUCAAGUGGCCAAGUUGUGAGCGAGACUCCCUGCACUCACCCACCCAAGAUUAUCCAUACCCCCUAAAAUUUCACACAGUAAAAGUGAAGUUAGUUUCCUGUUGAGUAUUGAAACUUAACAUGGAAAUUCCCCAGCACCACUGCUAAUCCGAGGUAGACGCCGAUCAAUCUAUUGGCUUCAACAGUGAGAGCACUGACCAGCAGUAAGAUGGAGAUUGCGUACGUAUGAGGUAGGGCGAAUAUGAAAUUGGCCUUUGACCAUCUCCGGUGGGCAACAACCGUAGAACACAUGCGUCGCUGGCGUGGCAAUGCAUCACGCCCCGCCCGAUCAUGGGAAUUCCGCCUUUUCUUCUAACGGGAAAACGACGUGAUGAUGAUGAUGAUGAUGAUAUACCCUCUCUCAGCUUCUCAAGAGUAUUCCCUUGAGGUGAAAAGGGGUUACCGCAUGCGCAUGAGCUGGUGGAGCUGGCACGUCGCGCUCACGCGCAAUUCGCCCGGAUCCAGAUGAGCUCAGCAACCCGAGAAGCACGAGGGCGUGAGCCAACGAACGGUGGGUGAAUUGUGUUGAGAGAGAAAGGGACGGUGAAAAAUAUCAAACUGAAAUGGUCAAGACUUUCCAGAAGAUUUGCAUCACUUGGGCUGAGCGAGUCUAUGGCCAAUGAAUCGCCGGAAAGCAUUCUGAUGACGCUCAAAGCCUGAAAAAUACACGCAUGCAUGGGCAUGGCGACGACAUUCAGGCCACUUGAUUCUGAUCGCUAGGUAGAUCUGCUUUUCCUCGGAGCGUUCAAUUUUUCUUUCGCAAUUCCUAUCAUAAUUGAAUUGAAUCAAAUUAUUUCUCAAGAAAUUCAUGUGAAAUUCCCAUGGAUUUCCCGAGUUCCUUCCACGGCCUGAAUUUCACCAGUAAUGUACAGUAAUCUUGAUAAGGAGAUGACAUAACAUCGACACGACGACUCUGGGAAUCCAAAUUACUGUUCCUGAGCUAGCACAAUCUACAGGAGACGUGGUCACAGAUUAAUCGACUGAUGUCACCCCAAGGGGCAUCUAAAACUCUAGCAAGGAGUAUUAAAAACGUGUAGAAGCAAUCGUGUGACGACGACCCCGAUCGACAGCAACGUUGUCGCGCCGGCCUACGUGGCGCGACGAAGGCCACGGUAGGACGACGUGGGGUGGAGAUCCGGAGGAUCGCACCCUGACAUCAACGUGUUUGACAAGUAGCUACCCGGUGGUUGGAUGACAGUAGUACUCCCUCCGUCCGAAAAUACUUGUCAUCAAAAUGGACAAAAAAGAAUGUAUCUAAAACUAAAAUACAUCUAGAUACAUCCCUUUUAUUCAUUUUGAUGACAAGUAUUUCCGGACGGAGGGAGUACUUGAUAAUUAGAGAUAGCACUUGAUUAAUUACACAACUAGGAGUACGUACUACCGGUAAUGGCCUGCCAAGACGAACGGCUCCUGGCCAGUUGAUGUCACGCCCCUGGAUGUUAAUUGAGGUACAAUUGCUCAGAGAAAACAAGCAUCCAGGCUUCUUUGGAUGCUACCUAUCAGGGUUUGGUGUCAAAAACGUUCUUAUAUUAGAGGACGGAGGGAGUACCUAUGAUUAAUUAGGCUGCGGUGCUGCCUGAGCAUCAUCAAAGUCCAAGGGAAUGAACCUAUUCUAUCCUCCCUUGUGCCAAACCGACAGGACGGAGUUGUGCUGGCCUAUCACAACUUGCUUGAUGCCCGAAACGAACAUGGACCCUCCCUCUAUAAGGCUGGCUGGAGCGGAACAAAAGCUAGCUAGAUAGGAGGGUCAGGCAUCAAUAUCAUCAUCAUCAUCGUCGUCGUCGUCGUGAUGCAUCGUUGUUGUGUACCACUACCUGUUUUGAUGCCAGGGAACCCUUUUCUUUUCUUUAGAAGAAGAAGCACUUUAUAUUAGUGCAAAAAUACCACAUGGAUAUGCCGGUUUAUUGGUCGCGAUUUUCAUAUGUAAAAGCGCAGAGAAUAAAAAUGGAAACAUACCAUGGUACAACUACAGAAUACCCCUGGGAAGAAAAGCAUGGCUAUUUAUCGGCUGCGAUUUCCAUUGUGUACGUGGUGAACUGACCUGCGAUGCCGGGCGGCGUCUUAUCCAGACACGGAGAUGAUGAAGCCAUGGGAUGAUGGGCAAAGGGUGCUGCUGUCACGAGGUUGGCCCCGUGAAAGCAACCGGCAUGUGUGCACCCUGGCUCCUGGAUAGCCCUUGGGGCGAUGCAAGGGCCAAAUUGUGUUGUGUGUGUACAAAUCAUGAUAAUAUCUGGAUUGGGACAUGGGCAGGGUGUCAAGAUAGAUGAUAGGCUUCAGCGCAGCACGAACCUGGACAGACACAACAAAAUGAGUGAUGAUGAAGGCAAAACAACUGGGCAGACACAACAUGUGAUGUCAAUCAAAACGAAUGGAACCUUUGCACGGAUGAGCGCACCUCUCUGUCCAGAUCAAGCAGAAGAUACCACCAUGAAGAAGAAAAGGCUUUGUUUGGACCACAGCGGUUGGUUUCUCCAUGGCGAGGGAGGUGAAGGGGGUUCGGAUGCCGUACCUUCGCCGCGAACAUCUGGCACUUUAGAGUCCUUGAAUCAGCUGAAUUGCGGUGUUCUUGGUCCUUUGAGGUGGGUGGUAUGCUUGAUCCUUUGCAGAUCAUAAAGGGAAACAACUGAACCAGACAAUGGUGUUCAGAAGCAGCGACUGUUGCAGGCUUCGCACUUGAGUUAUCUGAAUCCAUCUGAAGCCUUCGAGCUCAAGAGGGAUCAGGUGUACAAAUCAGUGACCAAACUCAACAAACUUGCCGAUAUCAACAUUUCCCCAGAAUAAAUGUAAUCAGGAGGGGAGUGGGCAUGCAACAGAAAAGUACAUACAGGGAACAAAACAGAAAGACUGAAGUGUUUGCAUUACUCUGUUAAAUCAACAAAUUAAGGGUGCAACGUACUACAAAGAUGUGACUGAGUACAGGUCACGAAGGUACAGAUCGACAGCUAUAGAUUUAACAGCAGCCAGCCUUCUGGACUCAUGAUCAGUAUGGCAAUAAUGCAACAUAACACAGGCCUAGCACCGAACUGACACGAGCCGGCGAGUGAAGCGCAUGGGUAUCCAUUUCUGCAUUUCCAUGGACCUCCACAUUGACGGGUAUAUAUAUGGGAGCUUCUGAAGACAGCUUUCCAAAAAGGUUUGCUACUUAGUUUCAUGAACUGAACAAAAGCACAGUAGGCCCCUAAAGCCAACUGGCACCUCUUCACGAUCG